UACGUAGGGGCGCAAGCGUUAUCCGGAAUUAUUGGGCGUAAAGAGCUCGUAGGCGGUUUGUCGCGUCUGCCGUGAAAGUCCGGGGCUCAACUCCGGAUCUGCGGUGGGUACGGGCAGACUAGAGUGAUGUAGGGGAGACUGGAAUUCCUGGUGUAGCGGUGAAAGUGACGCAGAUAUCAGGAGGAACACCGAUGGCGAAGGCAGGUCUCUGGGCAUUAACUGACGCUGAGGAGCGAAAGCCAGGGGAGCAAACGGG
rnacentral:rRNA from 1 species